rnacentral:lncRNA from 1 species
UAUACAAUCUCGUUGUUGAGCCUUGGGCGGGCAGGGGAGGUGCUGUCCAUCCGGCGUCUGUUCGACUCGCCCGGACCGGACCAAAUUGGUUGCGGUCUCGGGGUGUGACACUCGCUCUCCUCCUCCUUUGCGCCGCAGCCGAUGACGUAGGAUUCCCACGGUUGCUAAAUGUUUAAAUAAGUAUUGAUAAAUUAGCAGUAUUUUUUUUAGGUUAUAGCGAUACUCUUAAACUGUCACUAUAUGCCUAGCGACUCCACAUAUAGCAAUAUUUUUUAAAAAUAUUGGUAAUUUAGCUAGCAGCACUUAUUUUGAACUGUACCGAUAUUUAAAAGUGUCGCUAUAUAUUAUUUUUAUUGUAGUGAAGUAAUUAGAAAUGUGAAGGAAUGUUACCGAGGGACGUUAGAUUGGGCUUUUGAUG